UGCCGGGGGGGAUGGGGUGACUUCUGGGAACUUUUUUAACGCAGGUAGUUCUUAGCCGUCCAAAGUUCAGAUGCAACAAGAACGGUGAACCGGAGACGGAGACAAUGAGACAAACGAUAAAGAUGAUCCUCAGGAUCCUGCUGCUCAUCAGCUUCAUCUCAUGCGUCUCUGGAUCAUUAGUAGUGAAUGUGACCCAGACCCACUAUCAGGCAGAGCAGAACCACAGCAUCACACUGGAGUGGACCUUCACACCCAAACCUGACGUGUCCAUCACCUCAGUUUACAUCAUCUGUGAGCUGGUGACUGAUCUCAGAGCCUCAGUCCUGUUUCAUCUCCAUGAAGGUGUUGAGGUCUCAGAGUCUCAGGAUCAACAGUUUUCAGGACGAGUCCAGUUUGACAGAGACGAGCUCAGGGAAGGACGCCUCAGACUCCAAGUGUCCAGACUCAGGACUGAUGACUCAGGACGCUAUGACUGUACCAUCAGAACAUCAGAUGGUUGGAACACGGACGUAUGUCGACUCAACGUCACUGAAACAUAGUGAAUCUAAUGAUUCAAACUCAACCUGGACAUAUUGGACAUAUAUAAGGACUGACGGCUGACUGACGUUGUGCUUCUCUCCUCUCUCCCCCCCCACCCCCACUCUUUCUCCCUCUCUGUCCUCACCCACAGGUAUCAUUGGACUCAAGACAGUUUGGUGUCUGUGAUGGGCAGCUGCGGAUCCAACCAUCCUGCCUGCAUCCAGUCCCUGGUCCUACCAUCCUGCCUGUGCUCUGUUGUUGCUUGUUGUUGCUUGUUGCUGUUGCUCUGCUUUUCUAUCUUUCUAUCCUCUCACCCCAACCGGUCGAGGCAGAUGGCCGCCCACAUCCAGUCUGGUUCUGCUGGAGGUUUCUUCCUCGUUAGAGAGGGAGUUUUUCCUCUCCACUGUUGCUGUCAAAUUAAAUGCUUGCUGUAUGUGGGAUUUGUUGGGUUUAGUUGUGUGAGGUUUUAAACCUUACUUUGUAAAGUGCCUUGAAAUAACUUUGUUGUGAUUUGGCGCUAUAUAAAUAAAAUUGAAUUGAAUUGAAUUGAAUAUAAUUCCUGACCUGGAGCAGUGUAAAGUUUUAUGUUUGUGAACUUGUUGAACACAUUUGAUAAAUUACAGGGAGAGAAGACACACAGUGAUUAUUUUUUCCAUGUUCUUUACAGCAGCUGUUGAUCAGCACAAAGCUCAAACAACAGUAAGUCCAGAACCAGCGAACCGGGGGAGAACAGGUCUUUACGCUGCAUUGGUGCUAUUUGUCUGUGUUCUACUGUUACGUUUUUCCGUUGUCCUAUCAGAACUAAACCUCAGAAAGACGAAUGUUUUUGUCUUUGAUCAAGAAGUUUCAUACACACACAAAAACAUUGUUGGUGAACAGAACAUUUUGAACUGUGCUUCAACAUCAGCAUUUACACCCAUAGAAAACCUGUGUCCUCAGUCUUAAGGCUGAGACGUGUCGUAUUUUACUCCAUGUCAGGUUGAAACUCUUCUGUUGAGCCAGAGUUCAAAGACAAACCUGGGUUUGGAUCCACCCUCAGUUCCUGAGACUCAAACCUUCCCUGUGUGUUUCCAUGUUGUCUAGUGUCAGUUUGAGUUAGUGGAGGUGACUCUGCUUUUCUGUAACAUGUGUUACAGUAAUUAAUGUAAUGUGUGUAACAUGUACAGUAAUUAAGCACUUUAUCAGUUAUUUAUACAUAUUGUAAAUUAAAUCUUAUUCAUACUGA